UGCACAAUGGGCGAAAGCCUGAUGCAGCGACGCCGCGUGAGGGAUGACGGCCUUCGGGUUGUAAACCUCUUUCGACAGGGACGAAGCGAAAGUGACGGUACCUGUAGAAGAAGCACCGGCCAACUACGUGCCAGCAGCCGCGGUAAUACGUAGGGUGCGAGCGUUGUCCGGAAUUACUGGGCGUAAAGAGCUUGUAGGCGGUCUGUCGCGUCUUCUGUGAAAACUUGGGGCUCAACCUUAAGCUUGCAGGCGAUACGGGCAGACUAGAGUACUUCAGGGGAGACUGGAAUUCCUGGUGUAGCGGUGAAAUGCGCAGAUAUCAGGAGGAACACCGGUGGCGAAGGCGGGUCUCUGGGAAGUAACUGACGCUGAGAAGCGAAAGCGUGGGUAGCGAACAGGAUUAGAUACCCUGGUAGUCCACGCCGUAAACGGUGGGUACUAGGUGUGGGUUUCCUUCCACGGGAUCCGUGCCGUAGCUAACGCAUUAAGUACCCCGCCUGGGGAGUACGGCCGCAAGGCUAAAACUCAAAGGAAUUGACGGGG
rnacentral:rRNA from 1 species